CAGUCGAGAAUCUUCGGCAAUGGGCGAAAGCCUGACCGAGCGACGCCGCGUGCGGGACGAAGGCCUUCGGGUUGUAAACCGCUGUCGGGAGGGAUGAAGUGCACGGGGGCUAUCCCCUGUGUUUGACAGAGCUCCGGAGGAAGCACGGGCUAAGUUCGUGCCAGCAGCCGCGGUAAUACGAACUGUGCGAACGUUAUUCGGAAUCACUGGGCUUAAAGGGUGCGUAGGCGGCGCUGUAAGUCAGGUGUGAAAUCCCCCGGCUCAACCGGGGAAUGGCGCUUGAAACUGCAGUGCUUGAGUGAGGUAGGGGUGCAUGGAACUUCCGGUGGAGCGGUGAAAUGUGUAGAUAUCGGAAGGAACGCCGGCGGCGAAAGCGGUGCACUGGGCCUUGUCUGACGCUGAGGCACGAAAGCUAGGGUAGCGAACGGGAUUAGA
rnacentral:rRNA from 1 species